UUCGCAAUGCCCGAAAGGGUGACGAAGCGACGCCGCGUGGGUGAGGAAGGCCUUCGGGUUGUAAAGCCCUGUCAGGAGUUAAGAAAUGUAAGUGCGCUAAUAUCGCAUUUAUUUGACGAAGGCUCCAAAGGAAGUCACGGCUAACUCUGUGCCAGCAGCCGCGGUAAUACAGAGGUGGCAAGCGUUGUUCGGAAUUAUUGGGCGUAAAGAGCACGUAGGUGGGUUUGUAAGUCAGAUGUGAAAGCCUUCUGUUCAACGGAAGAAUUGCAUCUGAAACUGCAGGUCUUGAGUGUAGGAGGGGAGAAUGGAACUUCUGGUGGAGCGGUGAAAUGCGUAGAUAUCAGAAGGAACGCCGGCGGCGAAAGCGAUUCUCUGGCCUAUUACUGACACUCAGUGUGCGAAAGCUAGGGGAGCAAACGGGAUUAGAUACCCCGGUAGUCCUAGCCGUAAACGAUGGGCACUAAGUAGAGGGGUUUU
rnacentral:rRNA from 1 species